ACAUUCUUAAUAAAAUACUAGCAAACUGAAUUCAGCCACACAUUAAAAAGAUGAUUCAUUACAACCAAAUAGGAUUUAUCCCAGGCAUGCAAGGAUGGUUUAACAUAUGCAAAUCAAUUAAUGUGAUGCAUCAUAACAACAUAAUGAAAGAUAAAAGCUAUAUGAUCAUUUCAAUUGAGACUGCAGGGGUAGAAGUCUAGGCUCCCCACUCAGCUUUUGCUAGCAUGAGUGAAGGUGAGCCACAGAUUUUUGUGUAGCGCAUGGCUGUGGUAGAGUGGCUAUUUUCUGUAAGUUUUCUGUCUUGCUAGAAUUCUUUUUUUGUUGUUGUUACUUGUCUAGGGAAAGCAUGCUUUUUGACAUUUAAAAAAAUCUGUACCCAUUGGCAUGUUCAUAUUGUCAAAUUCUUUUGAUCCAAGUCAAGGAUAUAUAGGAUAAAUGAAACUCCAGAAAACUCAGCGUCCUGUUAUUCCUUGUUUCGUGGGUUCCUCGGUGCCUAGCCAUCUUGCUGUCCUCUGUUCAAAUUUCAGAAUCUUAUGUUUAUUUUACAUAUAAUGUCAAGGUUAUUUGUGUUCAUUGCAGGAGAAAUAGGGGAAAUUAGAUUUUAUCCAUCUUCCUGGAAUUAGAAUUAUGAUGGUUGAAUUUCUUUUUUUUUUUUUUUUUUUUUUUUUUUGAGAUGGAGUCUCGCUCUGUCGCCCAGGCUGGAGUGCAGUGGCGCCAUCUCGGCUCACUGCAAGCUCCGCCUCCCGGGUUCAGGCCAUUCUCCUGCCUCAGCCUCCCGAGUAGCUGGGACCACAGGCGCCUGCCACCACGCCCGGCUAAUUUUUUGCAUUUUUUAGUCUCGAUCUCCUGACCUCGUGAUCCGCCCGCCUCGGCCUCCCAAAGUGCUGGGAUUACAGGCAUGAGCCACCGUGCCCGGCCCAAUGGCUGAAUUUCUAACAGAAAUAAUGAAAAACAGAAAGGAAAGAUUUUUAUUGUGUUUUUUUAUUUUUCAGAAUAUUAUCAUAUGCACUAUUUUAAAUGCUGUAUAUGAAACCUUUUUUAAUUAAGCAGAGAUUUGUUUGUCUUACAAGGAGGUGAAAGAAUAAGGGUAAUUGACUCCAUUAAGAUCAUAGUUGGUUAUGUACAGAUGAGAAUCAUUUUAAUAAAUAUU
rnacentral:lncRNA from 1 species